rnacentral:rRNA from 1 species
AACGAACGCUGGCGGCAUGCCUAACACAUGCAAGUCGAACGAGAUCCUUCGGGGUCUAGUGGCGCACGGGCGCGUAACGCGUGGGAAUCUGCCCUUAGGUUCGGAAUAACAGUUAGAAAUGACUGCUAAUACCGGAUGAUGACGUUAAGUCCAAAGAUUUAUCGCCUGAGGCUGAGCCCGCGUAGGAUUAGCUAGUUGGUGUGGUAAAGGCGCACCAAGGCGACGAUCCUUAGCUGGUCUGAGAGGAUGAUCAGCCACACUGGGACUGAGACACGGCCCAGAAUCGUACGGGAGGCAGCAGUGGGGAAUAUUGGAGACUGGACGCAAGCGUGAUCCAGCAAUGCCGCGUGAGUGAUGAAGGCCUUAGGGUUGUAAAGCUCUUUUACCCGGGAUGAUAAUGACGGUACCGGGAGAAUAAGCCCCGGCUAACUCCGUG